rnacentral:lncRNA from 1 species
UCUUUGAUGUCCCUCAAUCCCUUUAUCUUUCUCUAGGCUUCCUUGUCAUAUUUUCUGUGACAGCUCUCAGGGGACCAAGGCCAGCAGAAUUUUCUAUGCCUUGGGAAUAUCUAUCCCCCUCAGUAAUUCAGACAGUAGGAAGGGGAACUUGUUGUGUGUCCCAGAGGGACCCUUCGACAGUGCAUUUGACAUUGACAGCUUUCUUUGUCAUGAAGAAUGGAAUUCAGAGGUACAUGGAUCACAUAGUCUAAUGAUAAAACUUUGGAGUCGUAUCAGGCUUUAUAAUUUACGGAGCACUUUCCCAUCUAUCACCUUACUUUAUUCUCACAACAAUCUAUCAAGGAAGGCAGUAUGGCUGUUUUUAUUUCUGUUUCACAGAAGAGGAAAUGGAAGCUCGGAGAGGUUAAAUGGCUUGCCCAAGGUCGUCCAGAUAUAAGGCGGGGGUGUAACAUUCCCUUGCAUCUCCAGGUUCCUGGGCUCUGACACACCCCGCCCCCAUCCCAUGACACCAAGCUGCUUCCUGCAGUGGCAUUGUUAGGGGCAACAAGAAUGGACUUCUAGCAAGGCUGCUUCCACAAAGCUGGCAAAGAAUCAGAGAUCGGGUGCUGGAGAAUUCAGGGCAAGAGCCGAGGAGUCCCUGGUCCCUCUGCUGCCAACUGCCCACCUCCCCAAGGCACCAAGGCACGCCAUCAUCUGGAUGAUUGCUUGAUUGGCACUGCUUGCUGAAACGGCUAUUUGAGAGAUGUGAAAAAGAUGGAGAGUAGAGAGGAAGCCUGUGAAAAUACCUCCACAAUUGCAGGUGGGACGCCUGCCACAGCAUGGCCUUUCCCAAGCGGUGCCACGUCCGCACCCAGGAUUCGAACCAGCGAACCCCAGGCCGCUGAGAAGCAGAACGUGCCGCUGUGCCAUCGGGCCAGCCCCUCAAAGUUUUCAGUUCUUCCUGAGAUCAAUAAAGCUUAAAAGAAAAGAAAAAGCCAACUCAGCUUGUGUGUGGCUUCUGGAUCUUGACUAAUGCAGACCCCUUUCCUGGAGUGGAAGCCAUGCUUGACAGCUCAGCUUUCUCGUCACUAAUGAGUUGGGACGUGA